rnacentral:misc_RNA from 1 species
GAUGAAGAACGUAGCGAAAUGCGAUAAGUAGUGUGAAUUGCAGAAUUCAGUGAAUCAUCGAAUCUUUGAACGCACAUUGCGCCCUUUGGUAUUCCAAAGGGCAUGCCUGUUCGAGCGUCAUUUGUACCCUCAAGCUUUGCUUGGUGUUGAGCGUCUUGUCUCUAGCUUUGCUGGAGACUCGCCUUAAAGUAAUUGGCAGCCGGCCUACUGGUUUCGGAGCGCAGCACAAGUCGCACUCUCUAUCAGCAAAGGUCUAGCAUCCAUUAAGCCUUUUUUUUUCAACUUUUGACCUCGGAUCAGGUAGGGAUACCCGCUGAACUUAAGCAUAUCAAUAAGCGGAGGA